rnacentral:rRNA from 1 species
UACGGGAGGCAGCAGUAGGGAAUCUUCCGCAAUGGACGAAAGUCUGACGGAGCAACGCCGCGUGAACGAUGAAGGCUUUCGGGUCGUAAAGUUCUGUUGUUAGGGAAGAACAAGUACCGGAGUAACUGCCGGUACCUUGACGGUACCUAACCAGAAAGCCACGGCUAACUACGUGCCAGCAGCCGCGGUAAUACGUAGGUGGCAAGCGUUGUCCGGAAUUAUUGGGCGUAAAGCGCGCGCAGGCGGUCCUUUUAAGUCUGAUGUGAAAGCCCACGGCUCAACCGUGGAGGGUCAUUGGAAACUGGGGGACUUGAGUGCAGAAGAGGAGAGUGGAAUUCCACGUGUAGCGGUGAAAUGCGUAGAGAUGUGGAGGAACACCAGUGGCGAAGGCGACUCUCUGGUCUGUAACUGACGCUGAGGCGCGAAAGCGUGGGGAGCGAACAGGGAUUAGAUA